GACGAACGCUGGCGGCGUGCUUAACACAUGCAAGUCGAACGGAAAGGCCCUGCUUUUGUGGGGUGCUCGAGUGGCGAACGGGUGAGUAACACGUGAGUAACCUGCCCUUGACUUUGGGAUAACUUCAGGAAACUGGGGCUAAUACCGGAUAGGAGCUCCUGCUGCAUGGUGGGGGUUGGAAAGUUUCGGCGGUUGGGGAUGGACUCGCGGCUUAUCAGCUUGUUGGUGGGGUAGUGGCUUACCAAGGCUUUGACGGGUAGCCGGCCUGAGAGGGUGACCGGCCACAUUGGGACUGAGAUACGGCCCAGACUCCUACGGGAGGCAGCAGUGGGGAAUAUUGCACAAUGGGCGGAAGCCUGAUGCAGCAACGCCGCGUGCGGGAUGACGGCCUUCGGGUUGUAAACCGCUUUCGCCUGUGACGAAGCGUGAGUGACGGUAAUGGGUAAAGAAGCACCGGCUAACUACGUGCCAGCAGCCGCGGUGAUACGUAGGGUGCGAGCGUUGUCCGGAUUUAUUGGGCGUAAAGGGCUCGUAGGUGGUUGAUCGCGUCGGAAGUGUAAUCUUGGGGCUUAACCCCUGAGCGUGCCUUCGAUACGGGUUGACUUGAGGAAGGUAGGGGAGAAUGGAAUUCCUGGUGGAGCGGUGGAAUGCGCAGAUAUCAGGAGGAACACCAGUGGCGAAGGCGGUUCUCUGGGCCUUUCCUGACGCUGAGGAGCGAAAGCGUGGGGAGCGAACAGGCUUAGAUACCCUGGUAGUCCACGCUGUAAACGGUGGGUACUAGGUGUGGGGUCCAUUCCACGGGUUCCGUGCCGUAGCUAACGCUUUAAGUACCCCGCCUGGGGAGUACGGCCGCAAGGCUAAAACUCAAAGGAAUUGACGGGGCCCCGCACAAGCGGCGGAGCAUGCGGAUUAAUUCGAUGCAACGCGUAGAACCUUACCUGGGUUUGACAUGGAUCGGGAGUGCUCAGAGAUGGGUGUGCCUCUUUUGGGGUCGGUUCACAGGUGGUGCAUGGCUGUCGUCAGCUCGUGUCGUGAGAUGUUGGGUUAAGUCCCGCAACGAGCGCAACCCUUGUUCACUGUUGCCAGCACGUUAUGGUGGGGACUCAGUGGAGACCGCCGGGGUCAACUCGGAGGAAGGUGGGGAUGACGUCAAGUCAUCAUGCCCCUUAUGUCCAGGGCUUCACGCAUGCUACAAUGGCUGGUACAGAGAGUGGCGAGCCUGUGAGGGUGAGCGAAUCUCGGAAAGCCGGUCUCAGUUCGGAUUGGGGUCUGCAACUCGACCUCAUGAAGUCGGAGUCGCUAGUAAUCGCAGGUCAGCAACGCUGCGGUGAAUACGUUCCCGGG
rnacentral:rRNA from 1 species